UGAAUACUGAACUCCGUGGCACGGUUCAUUAGAAAUGAACUGCUAUCAAGUUUGUUGGGUCGCUAUCUGAUCGCCGAUUACUUCCAUCGCCAUCAAAAUCACUGGAGAGAAGAGGAGCUCUCUUCUUCUCUCGUCCCUUUUCGUUUGUCUACUUUCCGUUUGUGUUCGAACGCUUUAAACGGCGAUCGAGUCUGUCGUUUCGCUAUCUGAUAGCCUGGGGCUGGGGCCAAAUCGAAACCUUCUAAUCAUUAAAACCCUGUUUCCUCUCUGUUAGGAAACAAGGAGGGGGAAAGGUGAGAAUUGUGUUUCUGUAUUUGUGGAAUUUCCUUGAAGCAAAGCUUCGAUUUUUGUGUUUAAGAAGUAUGGUUGUUCUUUGCUAAGGGGUGUAACCUCGUCCGUGAAGUUAAAGCACAAGCCAUUUGAAAAGUUAAUAAAUAUUGUAAUCUCAGUUUGGUUUGAUCUUUGUACUUAUUGUGAUUAUGCUGCAGCCAAAGGAGAAAUCUUUUUAUUGAUUUUCAGUUAUGCACUUGUAGCUUUCUGUUCUAGAGAGAGCACCAAAGAGAUGCAGAAAUUGGGUGAUUUCAAACUUCCCCAGUUCUUCAAUUACCCACCAUACUUCACGUAUUCUCCUGCCCUUCUGCCGCUCUCUAGUUUGGUGGAUUAUCAAUGAUCAAUUUUUUUGUAGCAGAGUAUAUUUGUUCUCUCUUUCUGUAUUCAUGUGUUGGAAUUGGGUGCGACAUUUUCAUUUUUUGCUACUUUGCUUUCCUAUUCUUGUUUCUAAUUUUCACAUAAUAAUUUUCUGCUGCCACAUUUGUUGUCAUCGUUCAUAGUUUGCAGCCAGCUAGGGACACUCGAGAGAAGCAAGUACAGCUGUGGAAGGAUAUUAUCGUUGAUUAUUGUAAAACACAGAAAAUAUUUGUUAUUGAAUUGGAAGAAGAAUUUCCUUUGUUCUCUAAUCCUGUGAUUGAAAGUAAGUUAAUAUAUCUUCAUUAGGUUCUGACUAUAUGUGGUCAGUUUGUAGACUCUUGUGGCAAUGACACUAUGCCUACAAAACCAUUAUAUUUGGAGUUUUCAUGAUUUAAAUGAAGGAUUUAUGGAAUCUUUGGAGUUCUUAAGAUAAAGGAAUGAAUCUUUAGGAAUUUAUAAUCCAAUGGUGAUUGAUAAACUUAUUUUAUAUAGAUAUUUUAGGUUAUUUUUGCAUCCAUUUUGCCUUUUUAGUUUAGUAAUUUUAUGCUUUUAAUGCUUAUUUUAGUUAAUUUGUUAAUUUUAGUUUCAUUAUAUUUGAUUUUUGGAAUUUUAAUGUUUUUUAUAGGUUUUAAUAAGGUUUAAAGGCAAAAAAGUCCAUAUAGAAGAAAUUCAAAGUGAUUUGGAAGCUUAAAGUAGUCUAAAAAGAGAAGAAAAUUCGCUUAAAGGAGAAGACCAGCCGAGACUUUCAAGGGCCUCAACAUGCCCCGUGUUGAGGGUCAUGUGAAGAUAAGAGUUAACCAACAGGAAUCCACAUGAGGCAUGUAAAUUCACACUGGGUCGUGUAAAUAGAGACUUCGGAAAAAAACACGCCGGAGUUUCAUGGGCCUCCACAUGCCUCGUGUGGCGGGUCGUGUAAGCAGAGAUUUUGGAGAAAAUACGCCGAGACUUUCAGGGACUCCCACAUGCCCCGUGUAGCUAAUCGUGCAGAAUCUAAAGGCUACUCCUCUGAAUCAACAUGAGGCAUGUGGAAAACAGCAUAAAUCAACAUGAGGAUCUCUCGGUCAUGAAGCUAGAAAAGCAUCUCUCAGCAUUAGUUUCAGAAGGUUAGUUUUUUUCUUGCUGGUCUCAACCUUUAUUUAUUUUCUUUGGGAAAAAUUCAAAUUAGACCUUGUGAUUUUGAAUAUUGAUAUAUGAAGGAGUCAGAUUAUUUCUUUGUUUUUUCCCCACUCCAUUUGACUAUCCUGUGAAUUUUUAUUGUUAAUGCUGUUAUGUGUUGCUUACAUGGGGCUUAUGAGGCACAGGAAUAAAGGUAAAAUUUACUUUAAACAUUGUCCAUGUGGCUCCAUGAUGUCUCAUUGUUUUCUUAAUUCUCCAUUUUCCAGUGAAUAGAAAAAAUAGUAAUGAAGAAACAAAAGAGGAUAAAGUUAAGUUAAUCUGCAUAACCAUACUGUGACAGGAACUGGUUAAGUAAAAGGGGUGGGAGUCGUGAGACCCCAAGAACACCGCUUCUUUGUACAUGUUUUUCUAUUAUUAUUAUUAGUAGUAGUACAGCAGCAGUAAUAGUAGCAGUAGUAGUAGUAGCAUUUCUUCAAAUUGCCUUUCUCUUCAAAUCUUAAAUUGAUUCUUCUCCUAAAUGCUUUUUGGUUACAAGGAGUGAAAGGGUGGGAUAGGAAUCACCGUUUAUUCCAUCUGCCAGUUUUUAAUGAAAAUCAUGUAAUGCAUGAUUGUACAUUCUCAAUUUCUCAUUCCCAUUCUUUUCACGCGAAUAGGUAUUAAAGCAAGUAAAAGGUUGAUUUCUAUUCUUAAUCUUUCACUCCUGGUAUCGUAAGGGCACAAGCUUAAACUUUCACUUUUUCCCAUAUCAUAUGAUCUCCGCCACUUUCUCUUUUUCAGGGAAAGUCUUCUUUCUCUUUAACCAUGGCAUCUAAAGAUUCCUUUUUGUCUGGAAUUUCUUGAUCUUUUGUGGUAACAAUGCUACUUGUUCUCUAAUUGGCACACAAUCAAUCUUCUUCCAUUUUCCUUUCUUUUGCUGGUAACAAUGCUGUGGGAAAAAAUGUCCUUGAAGUGGUAAUAUGUGUAAUCAUAUGGUCCGUUUUUGAACUUUUUUCUUCCUUUAAUUUUGUGAACUUUCUUAGGAAAAAAAAAGGUUGUAACUACAAUAAUUAAAAAUUCAUAAUCCAUUAUAUUCCAUAUUUAACAGGCCGUGCAGAAUGGGUAGAUAAAGGACAUAGGAAAUGCUUCAUUCUGUGGCAUCGCAUUCAAGAUUGGGCUGACAUUAUUACGUUUUGUGAGUCAGUUGUGUUUAAAAUAGUGAACAUUGCAUUGGAUUUGUGUGUUAUCCAUAUGAUAUAUUUGCUUAUCUCUUUAGGUGAAGGACAAUGGUUUAGAGGAUGGCGUUAUGACUAUUGAGGAAAUGCGCUCAGGAAUUGAAUCUCGGGGAACCGGUAAAAAAUUUGUGGAUCCUUUGAUGAAAGGGGUUUUGAAAAUGAUUUCAGGAAACCCCAAUGCUCAGUGAUUUCAUUAGUAUUACUGUAGGAUUAUUAUGGGCUCUUCCUCUCCCCUCAAAGCUCUGCUUCCUCUUAUUUAAAGUUCUUGAUAUGCUACUUUAUAAUUAAUUGAUGGCGUCUGCAGAGUUGCACCCGCUUUUACAUAGGAUCUAAACUCUACUGCUUUGAUUGUCUUUUAAUAUCUGACUUAAAUGCAUCACCUCAUAUUCCAAUUAGAUAAAAGGAAGGAAAGUGGAGAGAGAGAGAGGGAAUCACCUCAUAGGAUAUAGCUUUGAAAAUAGGGAAUGUCAUUACCUCGAGAGGUUAAUGGUGAAGCCAUUUUUAGCGUAAAACGAGGAGAAAUAUAUUGCAGCUGUUUUGAUGAUGUACUUGUGAUGUUAGAACUUAGAAUAGAGAAAAAGGAGUUAUAUUGCUGACCUCAACUGAUCCAUGUUAAAAGUCUGGUUGAGCUGAGUACAUACACACUGCACGCAUAAAAGAUAGUGGCAGUCUAUUGGUGCCUUUCUGACAAAAUUUGUGUUGUGAGUGUGCUUCUACAUUGGACUAGGUUCUGAAAUUCUGUAUUUUUAUUAUUUUUAACAUUUUAUCAAUCUGCAGGACCAUUGUCAUGUAAAAUAAAACCCAAAGAAGACCAGAAACACAAAUAACCAUUUGUUGCAGUGAAUCCUCACAAGACAACUAAAAACUUACAUAAGAGAAACCCCAAACCUUGAAGAAAUACUGAAAUAGGAAACUUUGCUUGCUUAAAGAGAUAUUCAAUACCUAACCUUAAUGUAGUAAUAAAACUAUAUAUUCCUCAUGGUGAUGCUAAUCAAGUAAUAAUUGGAUAGAAGAAGUUUCUGACAUCUUUUUCCUUGUCUGCGCUACAUUGCAUCAAGAAUCUCUUUCUCAUGCACAGACCCCUAGUCCACUGUAGUUUCUCAUGACGCGAGUAUUAUACAUUGAGCAUCAUGUUGUACAUGCUUUGAUUAAAAUUUCUUUUUGCUAAACCUCAGAGCUUCACGGGAUAGAUCGCACAAUUUUGAUGCGGGCAUUGAAACUACUAGAACACAAAGGGAAGCUUGCAAUCUUCAAGGGAACUUCAACUGAUGAUGAAGGUGUGAAAUUCUCUGUGUGAUGUUUCGACUGUCGCAUUCAACUGAUCAGGAUAGGCAAACUGUGCUGCUUGCUUCCUAUUUAUGGACUUGGUCAAUUAAAUUUUCUGCAAAUAUGAAUUUGCUGUCAACUCUUUUAGAUGGUCGGCCUACUGUUUUUUAUGGAUUCUGGAUGGCACUGAAGGUUGCCUUACUAAGCCCCCGGCCCAAUAUUUAAAUUUAUCAGCUUCUUAAGUUUGUUUUAUUUGAGAUUUAUGUUUUAUUUCGAAGUCAUUUCAAUUACUUGCUUUCUUUUAAGUCGAUUGCGUGCUAACUAGGGUUUUGAACUCGUAACCUCUCAUCCAUGUGACGGGUAAUUUUUGAUCCCUUGUUACUACUUAAUUGAUCCUA
rnacentral:misc_RNA from 1 species